rnacentral:rRNA from 1 species
CCUACGGGUGACAGCAGUCGAGAAUCAUUCACAAUGGGGGAAACCCUGAUGGUGCGACGCCGCGUGGGGGAAUGAAGGUCUUCGGAUUGUAAACCCCUGUCAUGUGGGAGCAAAUUAAAAAGAUAGUACCACAAGAGGAAGAGACGGCUAACUCUGUGCCAGCAGCCGCGGGAAUACAGAGGUCUCAAGCGUUGUUCGGAAUCACUGGGCGUAAAGCGUGCGUAGGCUGUUUCGUAAGUCGUGUGUGAAAGGCGCGGGCUCAACCCGCGGACGGCACAUGAUACUGCGAGACUAGAGUAAUGGAGGGGGAACCGGAAUUCUCGGUGUAGCAGUGAAAUGCGUAGAUAUCGAGAGGAACACUCGUGGCGAAGGCGGGUUCCUGGACAUUAACUGACGCUGAGGCACGAAGGCCAGGGGAGCGAAAGGGAUUAGAUACCCCUGUAGUC